UACGUAGGGGGCUAGCGUUGUCCGGAUUUAUUGGGCGUAAAGAGCUCGUAGGCGGUUUGUCGCGUCGACUGUGAAAACCCGAGGCUUAACCUCGGGCCUGCAGUCGAUACGGGCAGACUAGAGUUCGGUAGGGGAGACUGGAAUUCCUGGUGUAGCGGUGAAAUGCGCAGAUAUCAGGAGGAACACCGGUGGCGAAGGCGGGUCUCUGGGCCGAUACUGACGCUGAGGAGCGAAAGCGUGGGGAGCGAACAGG
rnacentral:rRNA from 1 species